rnacentral:rRNA from 1 species
UACAGAGGUCUCAAGCGCUGUUCGGAUUCAUUGGGCGUAAAGGGUGCGUAGGCGGCGCGGUAAGUCGGGUGUGAAAUCUCGGAGCUUAACUCCGAAACUGCAUUCGAUACUGCCGUGCUUGAGGACUGGAGAGGAGACUGGAAUUUACGGUGUAGCGGUGAAAUGCGUAGAUAUCGUAAGGAAGACCAGUGGCGAAGGCGGGUCUCUGGACAGUUCCUGACGCUGAGGCACGAAGGUCAGGGGAGCAAACGGG